AACGAACGCUGGCGGCAUGGUUAAGACAUGCAAGUCGUACGGGUGUGUAGCAAUAUGCACCAGUGGCGUAAGGGAGAGUAAUCCAUCGGUAACGUACCCCGGACACAGGGAUAGCCGCGGGAAACUGCGGGUAAUACCUGAUGAAGUCGGCGGAUCGCAUGAUCUGCCGGUCAAAGGUUGGGGACCGCAAGGCCUGGCGGUCUGGGAGCGGCCGAUGUCCUAUCAGCAGUUGGUGAGGUGAUGGCUCACCAAGGCAACGACGGGUAGCGGGCGUGAGAGCGUGGCCCGCCUCAUCGGGACUGAGACACUGCCCGGACACCUACGGGUGGCUGCAGUAACGAAUCUUGGGCAAUGGGCGAAAGCCUGACCCAGCAAUGCCGCGUGCAGGAAGAAGUCCU
rnacentral:rRNA from 1 species